rnacentral:tRNA from 1 species
AAUGAAGUGCCUGAGUAAAGGAUGAUUUUGAUAGAAUCAAUAAUGUGAGUGCCCCCCACCUUCAUUG